GGAUGCCCGAACCCCCACAUCCAGAACCCUCGCUCGCCUGCCACGCGGGCCCUGCCACCGAGCCACGAGGCUAGCCAGCGGGCCCUGGGGUCGAAAGGGGGGGCCUUAACGGCUCAUCCUCGGCGCUGUCCCCAGAGUGGAUGCGCGACGUGAUCAAUCUCGCUGCAUUUAUUAAUUCCCCCGUCUAGACAGAAGAGAAGGCCGGGCGGCGGCUCCUUAUCUGAAUUUGGCAUCACCUGCAAGCGAUACACUGAAGGAGCCACAACAAGCCCCCGCUAGGAUCGCGGCUGCCGGGGAAAAUAAGUCCACCCAGAACCAGUCUGGCACCAGCCCUCACUUGGACUCAGAAAGCUGCCAGCCUACCAGUGAUUGCACUACUCUUGAAGAAUCUCUGGCAUUGGGUUUCUGUUUCCUUGUCCUACCAAGUUAAAAGAUCCCAAAGGCUAGCACCUUGUUGAUGGAGACUGUGCAUGGAAGAUGCUGAUAAAU
ensembl:lncRNA